GGGGGAAGGAGACUUGGUGACCAGGGAACCUGAAGCCUAGCAGGAUGUGGCCCCAGGGUGAGAGACCGCUGAGGCUCCUUCGAAGGCUCAUGGCGGUAUUAUAUACUGCGUCCCUCUCAACUUCACCGCUUACUCCCCAAGCCACCAGGACCAGUGUCUAAGAACACGGCAAGCUUUCAAUGCCAACAGUAGGGUCUGAACCGGAACUGAUUUGCAGGGUAACUGUGAGUGGACCCCUCUGGAUUCCUGCUAGUGUAGGGCUUCAGAAGGAGGAAGCUCAAAAGAGCCACUAAGUGAAGCAUAGCCUGGGCUGGCAUCUUGGGGCUGAGAGGUUUGCUCCCCAGGGUAUGUGGCAGUGCGGUGGCAGAUCUCUCACUUACGAACUGUAAGGCAGGUGCUGCCCCUGUCUGAGUGCUGAUGCUGUCAUCUGCUAAAUGGGGAAAGAAUCACGGGUGAUUUCGGAGGAUUAAAUCCACCUCUGCAUGGUGCCUGGACUCCCCUCCCUGCUAUUGCUUUGGGUUCUGCCUCUCCAACUUCCAGCCAGAGUUGGGGUUUGGAGUAGAUGGGCUCAGAAGACGAGGAGAGAAAGGCCUCUUAGAUAUCAAAUGGCUCUCACAAACCAGACUUAGCUGAGCUAUUUUCAGUGAAUCAGCCUCCCAUGAGUUACAUUACUCUUGAAAUGCAGAAAGCUGUGAAAAUCAAGGGAGAAUAUGCUGGAGGCAAAUACUUUUUGGGAUCUACCAGCUCAAGCUCCUGCAAAAAGUAAAUCUAUGAGAGAUGCUGACCAAACCCCAUCCACUGCAGCUCAGUUGGCCUGUGGACAUGCAGGGGAAAGGCAGGACUGCCUUCACCAGGAGCUCCCGGUGCCCCACACCCAUGGCUACCCAGCGUCAAGAUGUACUAGGGGAGAUGGGGUCACACUGUGCAAAAGUGUCUACAACACGUAGGCAGCGGACCUACCUUCAGCUCCUUCCUUCAAGGUUUCUUCAAUGCAUUUCCAUUCCCUGAGCACACACUUAUUUUGUGAGAGGUAGAAUGGGGAUGGAGAAUGGACUAGA
rnacentral:lncRNA from 1 species